rnacentral:misc_RNA from 1 species
GAUGAAGAACGCAGCGAAAUGCGAUAAGUAAUGUGAAUUGCAGAAAUCAGUGAAUCAUCGAGUCUUUGAACGCACAUUGCGCCCCCUGGUAUUCCGGGGGGCAUGCCUGUCCGAGCGUCAUUGCUGCCCUCAAGCACGGCUUGUGUGUUGGGCCGUCGUCCCCCUCCUAGGGGACGGGCCCGAAAGGCAGCGGCGGCACCGCGUCCGGUCCUCGAGCGUAUGGGGCUUCGUCACCCGCUCCGUAGGCCCGGCCGGCGCUUGCCGACGACCAUCAAUCUCUUUCUCCAGGUUGACCUCGGAUCAGGUAGGGAUACCCGCUGAACUUAAGCAUAUCAAUAAGCGGAGGA